AAGAGGGAGACCAGGGUAUCGGGCGAUCCAGCGCAGGGGAGACCACCCGGAGUCGGGGCGAGUGUGCCUAGGGCGGCUUCCGAUGGGGGGACGGCGGGGCAGAGAAGGCCGCAGCCACUGCCGUAGCGCCCGCGAGCACCCGGAUUUCUUCUCUUUCCUCGCAAUUUCCCCCACACACAGCCCUUCAGACCUCCCUUCUUCCUUCCUCGCUGGUGACUAGAACGCAGCCGCAGGCGGAAGUACAGGUGACGCCAUCAGCCGUCGCCUGAGCGGUGGCGCGCGGGUGGCCGAAAGACGAAAAUGCAUUGUAUUCUGCAAUGACUCUUACUUCAAAGCUCGGGAUAUAUCUGUGGGCACAGAUGUAUACAGCAUAUGGAAACAUAGACCAAGAUAGACCAAUUUCAAGAGGUCAUAGAAGACAUAUAGGACAAAUAUGUCAAUACACCAGCCAAACCCCACAUCCAGAGUCAAACACAGGAGGAAGCUUCAAUGGACUCAUCCGCAAGUAGCUCAACUGUUAAAAAAAAAAAAAAAAAAAAGGAUGCUGGGAAUUGUGAACAUUCAGCGAUGCAACACGAGGUGGCACUCUGGUCCCAGGUAAGUCAUCAGAUAAGGAUAAGCACCUUCAGGAGAAUGGUAGGUCUCAACGCCAUUGGGAGAGAUUGCCCGACAGGCUGAUCAGCUAACUGGGCACAGAGCCAUAGGUGGGAUUAGGAAAAUAUGCUGGAACAUUAGGGCAGAGGGCAGAGAGUAGUAUAGCAACAACCUGAGACAAAUAACUGGUGUCUGGACAGUGCUUUAUAGUACACUGAUUAGUUACAUUUAUUAUUUAUUUAAUCUUUGUAACAAUCAUCUUUUCACUGCUGCUCCUUAUACAUGCCUAAAGCAAAUAUUAGAUAAUGACAUAUAUGUGUAGAAAUAAUCGCUCCCCGUGGUCCUCAGGAAAAAAAUCCCACUAUGUCUCCAAUCUUCAUCUUUUCUUCAUUAUUAAAAUAUCUGAAAUCCCUGAAAUGCAUCCUGCUCUUUUGUCUCUGUGAUUUUGUGCAUGAUAGUGUUCUACCUAAAAUGUUCUUUGUCCUUUCAUCUUCAUGGAUGGUUUUUGCUCCACCUUUGUGAGUCAGCGCAGAUAUUACCUCCUAGAAGCUUUCCUUCACCAAUUCCACUGGGCAGGAAUGUAAGGAUUGAAGCUAGAGUAGGUACGUCAAGUAUCUAACAGUGUGUAGAUAUCUAACAAAUGGUAUCUAUUGUUAUACAAAUCUAAGCAAUUUAGUCUGUUUACAUACCAAACAUUUUCAUUUCUUUGUUCAUGAGUAAUGAUUAUUUUCAGAGUCUAUUUUGAGGCCUGUUAUGUUUUUAUUGUUAGGAUGAAUGCCUCAAUAUUUCCACUGUGGAAUUUUCCCCUUUGUGUAAGUGUAAGGUGUCAUUUUCUGUUUUGUUUUCAGUGUUCUUCCUGAUUAAUUCAUCCAAUAAAUACUUUAUUUGUUCCUAUGUACAAGGUGCUAUUCUAAGCAUUGAGGGUAUAGGAUAUGAAAACAGAUAGCAUAAAGGAGAACUUAUGUAUAGUAAUUCUUAAUAUUUGAUUAUUCUUCAAAAUUUCAAGGUUAAAUUGCACCAAUUCUAUAAUGGUAUCCUGGUAAUAAUGAUGACUUUCCUUGAUUAUGACUGAUAGAUUGAUCUCUGCUAUUUUCAAACUAUAGUUUAUAUUAGUCAUUUCCAAAUGCAUUAGCCAUUGCCCACAGUAAAACUCCUCUGCUAAUUAACACUGCCUUAAAAAAAUCCUCUUGAUAUUUAUUAUUAUAUUUUUGGAUUAAAAAAAGUUUUCCAAUCCAUCAGAGGACUCUAAUGUCAGCCACUAUAUUUGUCCCUUUUUUGAGAUCUUGUGGAGAAUUGUGAACUAAAGCCUUUGAAUGUCAGGGUUCUGGCAAGAAUCAGAAGAUACCUCAAAGCAGGCAAUUAAGAAGAGAACUGUUUACAAAGUGUGGGCAGAGUUUAGAAAAGCAAACUAUCCCAGGGUUAGCAAAAUGAGGGGACAGUACUUCUCCUAGGCUUUGAGAAGCAAGGGGAGGGAGCAGGUACUGGGAUUCAGAGAGGGUAGCUAUCUGAAAGGAUUGCCUGACCAGGGGUAAAGCCUUCUACAGCGUGACCAAGAGGCAGGGAGCCUGGGAAAUUAGUAUUCUCACCUCAUUCUCCUACCAACCCCAAUCUGCCACCAGGGCUUCCUACUGACAUAACCCCCUGGAAUCUAAAUCUAAAGGGUAAAGGAUUCAGUUGAUGCAGGUCAGUCUUCUGUGACAGAUCAGGGUGGAGAAGGGUGCAGUGCGGAUAUUGAGAAACAAGUGGAAGAGAGUCAGCACAGGCCUUAACUUGUUCAUAAAUGAGAAACCUAGCAAUUCAUCUUUUUUAAUUAAAAGGAAUAUGGGAGUUCCCGUUGUGGCACAGUGGUUAUUGAAUCCGACUGGGAACCAUGGGGUUGUGGGUUCAAUCCCUGGCCUU